rnacentral:rRNA from 1 species
AGAGUUUGAUCCUGGCUCAGAUUGAACGCUGGCGGCAGGCCUAACACAUGCAAGUCGAGCGGCAGCGGAAAGUAGCUUGCUACUUUGCCGGCGAGCGGCGGACGGGUGAGUAAUGUCUGGGAAACUGCCUGAUGGAGGGGGAUAACUACUGGAAACGGUAGCUAAUACCGCAUAACGUCGCAAGACCAAAGAGGGGGACCUUCGGGCCUCUUGCCAUCAGAUGUGCCCAGAUGGGAUUAGCUAGUAGGUGGGGUAACGGCUCACCUAGGCGACGAUCCCUAGCUGGUCUGAGAGGAUGACCAGCCACACUGGAACUGAGACACGGUCCAGACUCCUACGGGAGGCAGCAGUGGGGAAUAUUGCACAAUGGGCGCAAGCCUGAUGCAGCCAUGCCGCGUGUAUGAAGAAGGCCUUCGGGUUGUAAAGUACUUUCAGCGGGGAGGAAGGCUGAUAAGGUUAAU